rnacentral:rRNA from 1 species
CAGUCGCCGCGGGAAUACGUAGGGUGCGAGCGUCAAUCGGAAUUACUGGGCGUAAAGCGUGCGCAGGCGGCUUUGCAAGACAGAUGUGAAAUCCCCGGGCUCAACCUGGGAACUGCAUUUGUGACUGCAAGGCUAGAGUGCGGCAGAGGGAGAUGGAAUUCCGCGUGUAGCAGUGAAAUGCGUAGAUAUGCGGAGGGACACCGAUGGCGAAGGCAAUCUCCUGGGCCUGCACUGACGCUCAUGCACGAAAGCGUGGGGAGCAAACAGGAUUAGAGACCCGUGUAGUCCCUGUCUCUUAUAC